rnacentral:rRNA from 1 species
CCUACGGUGGGCAGCAGUGGGGAAUAUUGCACAAUGGGGGAAACCCUGAUGCAGCGACGCCGCGUGAGUGAAGAAGUAAUUCGGUAUGUAAAGCUCUAUCAGCAGGGAAGUAAAUGACGGUACCUGAGUAAGAAGCUCCGGCUAACUACGUGCCAGCAGCCGCGGUAAUACGUAGGGGGCAAGCGUUAUCCGGAUUUACUGGGUGUAAAGGGAGCGUAGACGGCAGUGCAAGUCUGGAGUGAAAGUAGGGGGCGCAACCCCCGGACUGCACUGGAAACUGUACGGCUGGAGUGCAGGAGAGGUAAGUGGAAUUCCUAGUGUAGCGGUGAAAUGCGUAGAUAUUAGGAGGAACACCAGUGGCGAAGGCGGCUUACUGGACUGUAACUGACGUUGAGGCUCGAAAGCGUGGGGAGCAAACAGGAUUAGAUACCCGGGUAGUC